AUGUGGAAUCAAAUGUCAUAUGAUUAGUAGCACCAGAGUCAAGAAUCCACGCAUUCUUAGGAAUAUUACCACAAACAGUAAGAGAUCGGGAGCACAAACUCUUACCAGUAACUGCUAGAGACCCAGAACCAGAAGGCUUACUCAUGGAGUCAAGCAUAGACUUCAACCGUUCCACAUCAUUCUGACUGAAGGAGGAAAGAUCAGUUCCCCUCUUUUCAGCCAUUGAAAGGACAAUCGAGAGAAAACAAACCAAGAAACAGGAUGGGUUAGGGUUUCAAAGAUGAGUGAACAAAAACAAGAAGCACG
rnacentral:lncRNA from 1 species